CUUUCCUCGAAACGUCUUCAAAAAGCUUCUCUAGAUACUCCUGGUCACUUCAAGCAAACGAAAAAAUGCUGCAGACCGACCUGUAUCUCUCUCCAGUUCAGAUUCGGGGGAACUUAUUAACAUAUUGCUUGCCGCAUCAGAUCUCAGUUUUUAAUCAAAUGGCUCAUGGUGUUCCUUGACUGAAAUCCCCUAUGCGACUUAUUUCAGGCUCCACAGAUACAGGGACCCUGGAUGUAUGCAUGUAUGUUAUGUACAAAUUAUAAAAGAAAGCCAAAAGGAGUAAAGUCGAAGGCAAAGUAAAAAGAAGCAAACAAGGAGACAGAGUUCCUAAAAGAAAGGCACUUUGCAAAAACAUGGAGGAAAUCUGAUCCGAAGAUCCAGUGGGACCAUGUAAGAUCACUCUGAAAAAAAAACAAGAAAAUCCAUCUCAAUAGAGAAAAAAGGGCACACCAAGAUGAAUAAAAGAAACAGUAAAAGCAGAUCCAGGCCAAUCCUCAUGUAUUCACAAUGGGAUCCAAGAAUCAGAUCCAGUUUUAUAGAAUGAUGUCAGGGUUUCAUGCACCAAUAAAGCAAGUUUAUCCACUAAAAUAAUAA